rnacentral:rRNA from 1 species
GACUAACGCUGGCGGCGUGCCUAACACAUGCAAGUCGAACGAGCCAAUCACCAGUAGCAAUACCAGUGUGCGGCAAGUGGCGAACGGGUGAGUAACGCAUAGAUAAUCUACCUUUCAGACGGGGACAACGCAGGGAAACUUGUGCUAAUACCCGAUGAGACUACGAGAAGGGAUUUUUGUAGCCAAAGGGGGGCUUUCGGGCUCUCGCUAGAAGAUGAGUCUAUGUUCUAUCAGCUAGUUGGUGGGGUAAGAGCUCACCAAGGCUAAGACGGAUAGCCGGCCUGAGAGGGUGAACGGCCACAUUGGGACUGAGACACGGCCCAAACUCCUACGGGAGGCAGCAGUGAGGAAUUUUCCGCGAUGGGCGCAAGCCUGACGGAGCGACGCCGCGUGAGGGAUGACAGCCUUCGGGUUGUAAACCUCUUUUAUUAAGGAAAAAGGUUAGAAUGUUAAUACCAUUUUGAUUUGAUGGUACUUGAUGAAUAAGCCCCGGCUAACUACGUGCCAGCAGCCGCGGUAAUACGUAGGGGGCGAGCGUUGUCCGGAGUUACUGGGCGUAAAGAGCGUGUAGGCGGUUGGAAAAGUCAGGUGUGAAAUGUCUCAGCUCAACUGGGUCACUGCGCCUGAAACUUUCUGACUGGAGUUCGGGAGGGGCAAUCGGAAUUCCUGGUGUAACGGUGAAAUGUGUAGAUAUCAGGAGGAACACCGGUGGCGAAGGCGGAUUGCUGGACCGAAACUGACGCUGAGACGCGAAAGCGUGGGGAGCAAACAGGAUUAGAUACCCUGGUAGUCCACGCUGUAAACGAUGAGUGCUAGGUGUAGGGGGUAUCGACUCCCUCUGUGCCGCAGCUAACGCAUUAAGCACUCCGCCUGGGGAUUACGGCCGCAAGGUUAAAACUCAAAGGAAUUGACGG